rnacentral:rRNA from 1 species
AGGAUGAACGCUAGCGGCAGGCUUAACACAUGCAAGUCGAGGGGUAUAUUUCUUUCGGAGAUAGAGACCGGCGCACGGGUGCGUAACGCGUAUGCAAUUUACCUUUUUACAGAGGGAUAGCCCAGAGAAAAUUUGGAUUAAUACCUCAUAGUAUAUAGCCCUGGCAUCAGGAUUAUAUUAAAGUCACAACGGUAAAAGAUGAGCAUGCGUCCCAUUAGCUAGUUGGUAAGGUAACGGCUUACCAAGGCUACGAU